AACAACAGGGAUUACCUCAGUAACGGCGAGUGAAGCGGUAAAAGCUCAAAUUUUGAAAUCUUCGGAAUUGUAAUUUGAUGGAUAAAAUUGCCACGGACAAAAGUUCACUGGAAAGUGACGCCGUAGAGGGUGAUAGCCCCGUUUACGUCCACCGGCACUAUAAUUUUAUUCCAAAGAGUCGGGUUGUUUGGGAAUGCAGCUCAAAGUGGGUGGUAAAUUCCAUCUAAAGCUAAAUAUUGACGAGAGACCGAUAGCGAACAAGUACAGUGAUGGAAAGAUGAAAAGAACUUUGAAAAGAGAGUGAAACAGUACGUGAAAUUGUUGAAAGGGAAGGGGAGGGAAGAUGUUAAAGGGACUCCUUCUUUUGUAGGGAUCCCCGCCAAAAAGUCUUCCUCUCGCGGCUUGAAACACGGACCAAGGAGUCUAACGAUUAUGCAAGUAUUUGAGUCACCCCCAAAUGCGUA
rnacentral:rRNA from 1 species